GGGGGCGAAUAUGGUUUCGACGGGGACGUGGAAUCGGGAAUAGCGAGUCGUUAUGCCGAAACGUUAAACAGGCAAAAAAAAUAACUGACAACAACGAAUACGCAUUUGCUGCCUAAUUGAGCAGCUCGUCCUACUGGGGUUUCCCGCAACCUCAGAUAGGACGUCAAACUAGCGGGGAACCGAGCCUUGCAAAGCUUUGAGCAGGGAACGGAACUUAUGAAGCUACUUUGAAUUAGUUUUUGUCAUUUGAGGCUAUUUCAAAGGAAAUUUUUCAAUUGACUGCACUUGGAGAAUUUCCCGUGGAAAUUUUUUCGGACGCGGGUUCGACUCCCGCCGCCUCCACUU
rnacentral:tmRNA from 1 species